CUUGAUGUAAUAGUUAUGGAUCCAUCUGAUUCAUAGUUUGUCCUUUUUUUAUUGGCCAAUUUACAGCAAGUCGUGGCAAUUGCAACUUUAUGCAUGCCAGAUCUUCAUGUUAAUCAGGGAGAGGACCAUCGUUGCAUAAGCGAACACGGUUUAUCCCAGGCCACCAAUGCAUUCUUAGUGAUCGUGCUCACUGCAGACCAGAUAAAGCUUCUACAAUAUGCCACAAUUGCAUUCAUAACAUUUAGUUGGAAUGAUGAACAAAUGAGCCCAGGAAGCUUGAAUACCAAAAUACCACAGUUUGAACAAGUUGAAUUCUGUCUGCACAAAACCAUUUUUUAACCCAUCUAAAACUUGUAUUGCCUUCUCAAAAUAUCUUUAAAAAGAUUUGUUUUUAUGAUAAGUUAUAUGUAACUAUGAUGAUAAAAAAUAGUAAAGUAGUACUUUUAUUAGGCACUUACAAAAUUAUAAAAGAAUAAAUCAAAACGGGUCGGAUUAUGACCCACUUUAUAAAUAAUAGCCCAAACACAUUUCAGCCCAAAUAAUUUUUGAGUGGAUCAUUUGUAACUCAAUGUGUAAUCUACUUUUUCUUGCCAAUAAUAUCAACCCAACCCGCCAAUUUACGUCCCUAUACCUGGUCUUCUGAUAAUGUACGUAGUCUCUGCUACUUUUUUUUUUUUUUUCAACAAAAUUAUUUCACUAGCAUUUCUGGAUCAAUUCUUGUUUCUCCUUACACUUGGCACCUGUGAAGAUUCUUCUUUUCUAACGGGAAAGAUACAUUGUGAUAUUAAUUUGGAUUUUGUCUCAUCAUAAAGGGGGUUUGGCUGGGAGGUAAGAUCCCUUUUUCUCUGUGUACCUCUACCUCCUCAUUUAAUUCCUUUGGAAUGAUC
rnacentral:lncRNA from 1 species